AUCGACCCAUUUCCAACUUUUCAUGUAUAGUGCGAAUCAUGCAUGUAGUUUCAUAAAUACACGCUAAAAAAAAUUGUCAUUAAAUUUACUUAUAGCUAACGGAAUUUUCUGAAAACCCAUCACUGAUACAUUAGUAUUUUGCUGUUUAGCUAUAGAAUUUGUCUGUCGCUAAUUCUUAUACAUAUAUGCUUAUGUAUGCUUAUGUAUGUAUGUAUGUAUGGCGCAUAAACUACAGGGGAAAUGAGAGUUUUAUUUGUGUAGUGCGGUUAGAAUUAUGGCGGCUAUAUAUGUGGAAUUGAGCUCUACAUGUAAUGAUAUUUACUUUCUAUUUUUAGGAAGUUUUUGGGUUUGGGUUUUGUAUUUGAGCUGAAGAGUAAUUGGUAAAGUGGAAAGGUUGUUAGUUUGUGUUUUCAUUCUGUUUCUUAGUUCAAUGAAGCAUUAUUAUCUGCUUAAUGAUGUUUUUACGUACUAAUUACUACUAUAAGCUAAAUUCUGGAAUUUUGAUGAUUUGGGUCUUUCAUGUUAUUUAGUAUUUUGAUAGAUUAUUGGUUUAGCCAAGAUGAUUUUUUUUUUUUUUUAAAGUUAUUUGGGUUUUGUUUCUCUGCAUAUCAGCAAUUAAAAUGAUGUAAUAUGUUCAAUAGAUAGUAGAUAAUAGAGGAACAUUGAGUUUAUGAGACUUACUAUUAAGAUAUGAAGUUAUCUAAUUAGCUUUCUCCAAUUAUCUGGUUCAGUUACCAUAUUAGUUGGAGUAAUUGCUUCUUAUCAGUAAGUGGAAAGUUGACAAUGAUGGUGAUUUGUGAGAAAAAAAGUAUGAGUUGCAGAUUGCAUAUAGCCAUAUAGGAAUGCUUAGAUAUGGAGGGCCAAUUCAGGUGAUAGCUUCCUGUACAGUAGUGAAUAGUGAUUAGUAGAUAUUAAUGUGGAUUCAUCAAAAUGGGAAAUCCCUAUAGUCAUUGCUCUGCCCAGUGAUGAAAAAACUGAUUAGGAACUCCAAAGUUUAGCCCAUCAUCACUAAAAUUGGCAUAUAUACACUUUGUGUUUAAAUGCUAGCUGUCUUACCUCCAUCUAACCAUAAUCUUUCUUGUUAGUUUUGGAAAGGUGUCAAGUAACACUAUUUCAAUACCACCUCAACCAUAGCAAAGCAUGUGCUGGGGCUUUGUGUGUGGAAAAGGAGGGGGGUGGGGGGGGGGUGGAACCGGUUUGUUCAUUCAGCCUCCUCUUUUUAUCUGAUUUUAUAUCUUUGCUGGCUUUUCACAUUUUCUUCCUAAGUGCCGAUCUUGGAUAUAAUGAGUAAAUUGAGAGGUGGAUAAAGUAAUCUUUGCGAUUCCAAAUUUUCCGGGUAAUUGGAUGCGCAAUUCUCAUUUUAUGUGUCAGUUGUUAAUGGCACACAUUUCUGUUUUAUUAUUUGGAAUCUUUAUCUCACUGAAACUUGCUAAAUUGCAUGUGAAGUUGCAGAAAUAUCCCCAACAGUCAGCCGUUUGCUUUCUUUCAGUAAAGAGUACAGAUAUUAAGUUUCUGUUGAAUCGCAAGAAUGAAGUUUGGUAAGGAAUUCAAAAGGGAAAUGGUCCCAGAGUGGGUAGAAGCUUAUGUGGACUAUACUGGACUCAAACAUAUACUACAGGAGAUCCGCCGUUUCAAGGAAAGCAAACAGCCUCCAACGCCUGCAAGAACUUUAGAGCAGAGGUUGGCUGUAUAUCGGAACUUUAGUGGUCUAAAUCUACAAGGACUUGCUCAGAAUGCUGGUGAUAUUGAGGACCAGGUGAUAGCAGUGAACACGGUGCAACACGAAAACUACAGAAAGUUUUACAAAACUAAGUUCCUAGCGUCUCCUGAAGGAGCAGAGAAUGAAAUUAGUUUCUUUAACAAACUAGACCAUGAAUUGAACAAGGUUAAUACCUUCUACAAGGACAAGGUGGAUGAAGUCAUGAGGGAAGUAAAUUUGCUGAAUAAACAAAUGGAUGCUUUGAUUGCGUUACGUAUCAAGGUGAUGGAUCCGGGUUUCGAUGCAUUUGCUUCCCUUCAACGUCUUUCCUUAGACAUUAACAAUUCAACCCCCUCGAGGAUUACAUCUCCUCCCAGAAUAGCGAAUUUAGAUACAGAUGAUAUGCCUGUCAGCCCAAGUUUUGGCCCCACUUAUGGAAGACAGGGUUCUACGACUAGUGCUUCAUAUUCCAAGGUUCCCAUCGACCACAAUACUUUAAGAGAGAACAGAGAUACUGAUUCAACAAAAACAGAUCCUCUUGAAAUCCUAGAUCACGUUAAGAUUGUUAAUACAUUUGAAAGUCCCAUGUCAACAAUAAGAGGUGUCUUGGGCGAAUCCAAGGAGAAUGACUUGAGUUAUAAGAAAGAGGAACUAAAGAAGGUUGAGCAGAGGCUAAAGCUUAUUUUCUUUGAGUUCUAUCAAAAACUUCGCCAUCUAAAACACUUCAGCUAUAUGAACCUGUCUGCAUUCUCCAAGAUCCUCAAAAAAUAUGAGAAGAUUACAUCUAGAAAAGCAGCAAGAUCAUACUUGAAAAUGGUUGAUAACUCUUACCUUGGGAGUUCUGAGGAGGUUACCAGUCUUCUGGACAGAGUGGAGACCACCUUUAUCAAGCAUUUUUCACAGUCGAACCGCAGAGAAGGCAUGAAGAUAUUGCGUCCGAGGCAUAAAAGAGAAAAACAUCGUAUAACGUUCCUGUCAGGUUUUUUUUCUGGUUGCUCAAUUGCUCUACUAGUUGCUGUUAUUCUAUUAAGAGAUGAUAGAAAGUUGAUUGAUAAAGAUGAAGGAACCUCUUAUUUGGACAAGAUAGUCCCACUUUACAGUUUUUAUGCAUACAUUGUGUUGCAUAUGCUUUUAUAUGCUGCAAACAUUUAUUUUUGGAGGCGCUACAAAAUCAACUAUGCAUUUAUCUUUGGUUUCAAGCAAGGGACCGAGUUAAGCUAUAGGGAAGUCUUUCUUCUUAGCAAUGGUCUGGCAAUGCUCGUCCUUGCCGCUCUCCUGAUGCAUCUGCACAUGAAUUCAAGAGCUGAAGUAUAUGGAACAAGUGUUGAAUAUGUUCCUUUGGGAUUGAUAAUGGUUCUUCUUUUCAUUACUUUCUGCCCGUUUAGCAUCAUUUAUCGCUCAAGUCGUUUGUUCCUUAUGAGAUGCGUCUUCCACUGUAUCUGUGCUCCUCUUUACAAGGUUACUCUUCCAGAUUUCUUUCUAGCAGACCAGCUGACUAGCCAGGUUGAAGCAAUAAGGAGUUUGGAGUACUACAUUUGCUACUAUACUUGGAUUAAAUCUUCGCAUGGACAUAAUUCGUGCCCAAGUCACGAUGUCUAUAACAUAUUUUACUUCAUUCUAGCGAUCAUACCAUAUUGGUUUCGGUUUUUCCAGUGUGUCCGUCGACUGUUUGAAGAAAAAGAUCAAGCACAGGCAUACAAUGGCCUGAGAUAUUUUUUGACAAUUCUGGCAGUUGUUAUUAAAACAGCUUAUGCACUGAGAAAGAGUUUGACUUGGGAGGUGUUGGCGAUACUUAGCUCACUUAUCACAACUUUCUUCAACACUUACUGGGAUAUAGUUGUAGAUUGGGGGCUGUUAAGAAGGAAAUCCGAGAACAAGUUUUUGCGGGAUAAGCUCAUAUUGCGUCAUAGAAGUGUAUAUUUCAUAGCCAUGGUCUUGGAUGUUUUGCUUAGAUUUGCUUGGCUACAAUUGGUAUUAAAGUUUAAUGUGCCCUCUUUGCAAGGAAGUACUGUCUCAAGCAUAUUUGCUUGCUUAGAAGUAAUUCGGCGUGGCAUGUGGAAUUUUUUCAGAUGAUCCACUGUCCUUUCACAUUAUGGCAAAGGGAGAAUUUAUCGACAUAUUUAUGAUCUCAAGGUUGGAAAAUGAGCACUUGAACAAUGUGGGGAAAUAUCGGGCAUUCAAGUCAGUACCACUUCCUUUCGUUUACCAUGAAGAGGAUGAGGAGAAAGAAGAAUAAAGAUGAACAUUGAACAAUAUCUGUCCAUUACCUUAUCAGAGUGCUAGCAACUGCCAAACUUUAGCAUCCAGCAAAUGUCAUUCACCAUGAAGCGCUCACAUGUCAAAUGUUGCCUAAUAAACAGCAAUUUGACAUCUAAGCUGAAGAAAAUAUUACAUUUCUGGGCUUAAGGUGGAUGAGAAGAGUCGAACACGUGUGAAAGAGGUCAACAUUCCAAAAAAAAAAAAAAAGGACCAGGCAGAUUACAGAAGAUGCAGAUUUCUUUAAGGGCUAUUUAUUGGCCCUUUAACUGGAUAAUAACUUCAGAACAAGGCAAGAUGUGCAGUGACAAGGAGGAGAGAAAGAAUAGAAAAGGGAUAUAUAAAAAUUGCUUAAUUGUACAUUGUUCAAGUCGAAGAUAGUGAAUGCGAUCACAGAUGUUGCCCUGUCAUAGCAGACCAAGCAAUGUUUAAUUUCUAAUUUUCUUCAAGCCAAUGGUGCAGUUGUUCAUUCAUAGUUGAGAAUAAUUCUCUGAAUUAGUGAUACAUUGAUAUGUUCCCAAACUUUAUAGGUUAAAUAGUUAAUUUGCCAAUGAGGCAUUCUUUUUA